UAGAGAGAGAAAAGGAAGAAUAUUUCAGUCAAUAUUAAAAAUUUAACCCUUCUAGGACAGACCACAUCCAUAGACAUUCAGCCUGAGCUUAGACGUCAUAAGACGUGUAUUUUCUACUAUUUUCUAGACUUAUGGUUUGAUAUUUGAGUCUAUAUAUUACAUAUCAGCAAAGUGAUACAAAUUAGCCCUAGUUACACAAUUGCAGGAAUAGAUAGCCUAAUUUCAUCAAAAGAGAAAAUCUAGUACGAAAUUGAUCUGACCCCGUGAAAGAUGCCCACUGUGGAAAGGUUAAAAAGAAAGAUUGAAAAUGCAUUGAAAUCAUACACUUCCCCUUCCCCCUUUCCCACAGAAAACAGAGCCAUGGGAGCACGAGAAGGAGGUGCUUGACUACGAGCAUUACAUAUGGGAAGGCAGUCCCUCAGAGGCAGCACUCAAGGCCCUUGCAUCAGCCAUGGGAGACUCGGUACCAGAAGCGCACGUCAAGGAAUACAGAGAUGCAGUCACAGAGUUGCACAACGAGGGAGAGGAUGAAACAACAUUAACCAAGUAUCGAGAAGCAGUGAUGAAGAUAGCUGGGGUAGCAUAAUGGCAUUUGAAUUCAUCUUGAUUAGUGAUCGAAUACAAUUCAUUCAUAGACAUCAGAAGUCAUUACUGAGACAGUUAAAACCUGUGUACAGUAAAAGAAAGAAAAAAUGUGUAUAUUUUGUUAUUUGUAAAUAGAUCUGUCUUCUUUUUUUCUUUUCUUGAUUCCCUCUCAGUUGUAAAAGUUGAUGUUUGUUGAGCUUUUAUAAUGAAAUACAAGAAGUAACUAUA
rnacentral:lncRNA from 1 species